UAACCGCGAAAGCUGGUGUAAGUCGCAUAAGUCCAACAGAUCAUCGAACCCUCCGAAUGCAGACUGCGCCUCUCGGAUUUAUCCCUGAGGCCUACCUCUUUGAGCGGGGAUACACUGCCCUAUAAAAGCAAUUGUCGUAUUACUGCUGCCUGCGAACAUGGCUACAGGUGUUCAGGCUUGGGAUUGUUAAAGUGACUCUCCCUAAUUGCGAAGCAGCCUCUUAAUCAAAGGGCCUUAGGAUUGAAUUUACUAGUCCUAUGCGAGUUACCCUUUUUGAUUAAAGCGACUCCCGUAAAAAAUACGCAUUCAAUUCCCCAUCAAAUGAGAUAGGAAAAUCCCGUGAACUUAAGC
rnacentral:misc_RNA from 1 species